rnacentral:rRNA from 1 species
CUUGAUUCUGUGGGUGGUGGUGCAUGGCCGUUAUUAGUUGGUGGAGUGAUCUGUCUGGUUAAUUCCGUUAACGAACGAGACCUUGGCCUGCUAAUUAGUUUGCGUCACCUUGGUGGCGUCGAGCUUCUUAGAGGGACUAUCUGUGAUGAGCAGAUGGAAGUGCGAGGCUAUAACAGGUCUGUGAUGCCCUUCGACGUUCUGGGCCGCACGCGUGCUACACUGAUGGGUUCAACGAGUUCGAAUGGUUCUUGGCCGAUAGGUCUGGGAAAUCUUUGAACGCCCAUCGUGAUUGGGAUAGAUGCUUGCAAUUUUUCAUCUUGAACGAGGAAUGCCUAGUAAUCGCAAGUCAUCAACUUGCAAUGAUUACGUCCCUGCCCUUUGUACACACCGCCCGUCGCUCCUACCGAUUGAGCGGUCCGGUGAGGUGCGAGGAUUGGUGGCGGCGCUCUUUGAGCCCGACGCCGAGAAUUGCACCAAGCCUUACUGCUUAGAGGAAGGAGAAGUCGUAACAAGGUUUCCGUAGGUGAACCUGCGGAAGGAUCAUUG